rfam:Cyphomyrmex costatus contig23834, whole genome shotgun sequence.
CAAUCGGCCCUUUUCAGGGCCACUAAAGAUCUCAAAACGUUGUAU